GUGUUGUAGAAAGGGUAUAUGUUGUGAUAAGAAGGACACGGUGUGGUAGGAAAGACACGCUGUGGCAGGAAGUUGAUGAUGUAGUACCGUUAGAAAAGGCGUUGGUGUUGUAGAAAGGGUAUGUUGUGAUAAGAAGGACACGGUGUGGUAGGAAAGACACGCUGUUGUAGGAAGGAUACGGUGUGAUAGGAAGUGCAUGCUGUCGUAGGAAAAGAUGCUUGACUAUGUGAGAUAAUCACCAUGACGAGAGGAUUGUCAAACAACACUACAACAACUACAAAAAAAUACACUAUAAUUUUUGUUUUCCUUGUAUUAAACCCUUUAAAUUACAUGAACCGAGCGUGUAUAAAACAAAAGUCAAUGUGUAAUUUUAUCUCAUUUUCUUUUGUCGUAAAUGCAUUUAGCUCAUUUAUAGUCCCACGUUUGAAAUGGGCCUAAGAAGUGCCUUAGUUGAGGCAAGGGAAAAAAACUGAUUGGAGGAUUUUUUUUCUGACUAGAAAAUGUUUAAGUUGUGAUUCACCAUAGAGAGGGUGUGAGUGAGUUCAAAAUAAACCGUUGUUACGUAUCUUUUGAUCAAUGC